GAUGAACGCUGGCGGCGUGCCUAAUACAUGCAAGUCGAGCGAACAGACGAGGCUCUUGCUCGUCUGCCGUGACCGGCGGACGGGUGAGGAACAGGUGGAUAACCUACCUAGAAGACUGAGAUAACUUCGGGAAACCUGAUCUAAUAUAGGUUAACAUGGUGAACCGCAGGGUUCUACGGUCAAAGCGGUUUUUGCUGUCACUAAGAGGUGGAUCCUCGCCGCAUUAGCUAGUUGGUAAGGUAACGGCCUACCAAGGCGACGAUGCGUAGCCGACCUGAGAGGGUGAUCGGCCACACUGGAACUGAGACACGGUCCAGACUCCUACGGGAGGCAGCAGUAGGGAAUAUUCGACAAUGGGCGAAAGCCUGACGGAGCAACGCCGCGUGUGUGAAGAAGGUCUUCGGAUCGUAAAACUCUGUUAGUAGGGAAGAAGGAAUGUAAAAGUAAAUAUUCCCGUCUUGACGGUACCAAAAGAGAAAGCCCCGGCUAACUACGUG
rnacentral:rRNA from 1 species